GACGAACGCUGGCGGCGUGCUUAACACAUGCAAGUCGAACGGUGAAGCGCCUUCCUUUUUGGUGGGUGUGGAUGAGUGGCGAACGGGUGAGUAACACGUGAGUAACCUGCCCCCUUCUUCUGGAUAACCGCAUGAAAGUGUGGCUAAUACGGGAUAUUCUGGGUCUGUCGCAUGAUGGGUCUGGGAAAGAUAUUGUUUCGGUGGGGGAUGGGCUCGCGGCCUAUCAGCUUGUUGGUGGGGUGAUGGCCUACCAAGGCGGUGACGGGUAGCCGGCCUGAGAGGGUGGACGAUCACACUGGGACUGAGACACGGCCCAGACUCCUACGGGAGGCAGCAGUGGGGAAUAUGGCACAAUGGGCGCAAGCCUGAUGCAGCGACGCCGCGUGAGGGAUGGAGGCCUUCGGGUUGUGAACCUCUUUCGCCAGUGAAGCAGGCCUGCCUCGUUUGUGGGUGGGUUGACGGUAGCUGGAGAAGAAGCGCCGGCUAACUACGUG
rnacentral:rRNA from 1 species